UACGUAGGGUGCGAGCGUUAAUCGGAAUUACUGGGCGUAAAGCGUGCGCAGGCGGUGAUGUAAGACAGAUGUGAAAUCCCCGGGCUCAACCUGGGAACUGCAUUUGUGACUGCAUCGCUGGAGUGCGGCAGAGGAGACUGGAAUUCCUGGUGUAGCAGUGAAAUGCGUAGAUAUCAGGAGGAAUACCGAUGGCGAAGGCAGGUCUCUGGGCUGACACUGACGCUCAUGCACGAAAGCGUGGGGAGCAAACAGG
rnacentral:rRNA from 1 species